GAACCUCAAAGAUCCCCUGAUGAUGCAGCUGCAGGCAUCCUGGAUAACAAUCCAUGAGCAAGACAAGAAAACCAUGGCCAAUUGCUGAUCCCACGUGUGUACUAACUAUCCUGUAAGGAAAACUUUGGAAAAGAAAAGAAGGCUAGUGCAGCUAGAGCAUACUAAUGUGAUGGAGACAAGUACUGGGCAAAUAAUUCACACAGG
rnacentral:lncRNA from 1 species